GGCUUGAUGAUAUAUAAUUUUAAGUCGAUCUGCCCAAUGAUUAAGUAUUUAAUGGCUGCAGUAUAUCUGACUGUACAAAGGUAGCAUAAUCGAUUGUUUUUUAAUUGAAAACUGGUAUGAAAGAAUUAAUGAGAUAUAUACUGUCUCAUAUAUAUUUUGUAAAAUUAAAUUUUUAGUAAAAAUGCUUAAAUGUUUUUAUGGGACGAUAAGACCCUAUAGAAUUUUAUAUUAAUUUUUAGAUUGUGUUAAUAGUUAUUUUAAUAAUUAAUAUUUAGUUGGGAGGAUUGGUAAAUUUAAUAAACUUUAUUUUUUAUUUUAACUUUGAUUUGAGAAUUAUUAAUGUUCGUGUAUUAUAAAUUAUAAGAUUAAAUUACCUUAGGGAUAACAGCGUAAUAUCUUUGGAGAGUUCAUAUUAAUAAAGAUGAUUGCGACCUCGAUGUUGAAUUAAGAUAAAUUUUAAAUGCAGAAGUUUAAUGAUUAAGUCUGUUCGACUUUUAAAAUCUUACAUGA
rnacentral:rRNA from 1 species